GGGGGGGCGGUGAAGUGACGGAGAGGGACCCCGUGUUAAUGGUGAGGACUGGGGCCUCCACAUGCACCCUAGAGCCGAGGUGGCAGAGCUCCCACCGACCCCCGGGUUCUGUGGACAAGAACAUUAUUUCUUCCCCCCCAUGUUCCUGUAUUUCAAAGAAUUUAUUGAGUCUAUACCUUAUUCCAUGGACAAAAUUUCCUGUUUUCUAUAUUUAGAUUUAAAAGUAGGAGAUGAGUCUAUACCCUGUCCAGCUUCAAUCAAUAAAAGUGUCAAGGUUUAACGUUUUCCCUUUUUUAUUUUUUAAUUUUUUUUUAUUUUUUUAUUUUUCUGAAGUAGAAGCAAGGCUUGAAAAUGGAGAUGUAUGAAACCCUUGGAAAAGUGGGAGAGGGAAGUUACGGAACAGUCAUGAAAUGUAAACACAAAGAUACGGGGCAGAUAGUGGCCAUUAAGAUAUUCUAUGAGAAACCCGAAAAAUCUGUCAACAAGAUUGCCACGAGAGAAAUAAAGUUUCUAAAGCAAUUUCGUCAUGAAAACCUGGUCAAUCUUAUUGAAGUUUUUAAACAGAAAAGGAAAAUUCACUUGGUGUUUGAAUUUAUUGACCACACAGUAUUAGAUGAGUUACAACAUUAUUGUCAUGGACUAGAGAGUAAACGACUUAGAAAAUACCUCUUUCAGAUCCUUCGAGCAGUUGAUUAUCUUCACAAUAAUAAUAUUAUUCAUCGAGACAUAAAACCUGAAAAUAUUUUAGUAUCCCAGUCAGGAAUUACUAAACUCUGUGACUUUGGUUUUGCACGAACACUAGCAGGUCCCGGGGACAUUUAUACAGACUAUGUGGCUACACGCUGGUAUAGAGCUCCAGAACUAGUGUUAAAAGAUACGACUUAUGGAAAACCUGUGGAUAUUUGGGCUUUGGGCUGUAUGAUCAUUGAGAUGGCCACUGGAAAUCCCUAUCUUCCCAGCAGUUCUGAUUUGGAUUUACUUCAUAGAAUUGUUUUAAAAGUAGGCAAUUUGACACCUCACUUGCAGAGUAUCUUUGCCAAGAGUCCCAUUUUUGAUGGGGUGAUACUUCCUCAAGUUCAACACCCUCAAAAUGCAAGGAAAAAAUACCCAAAGCUUAAUGGGUUGUUGGCAGAUAUGGUUCAUGCUUGUUUACAAAUUGAUCCUGCUGAAAGGAUAUCAUCUAAUGAUCUUUUGCAUCAUGAAUAUUUUACUAGAGAUGGAUUUGUUGAAAAAUUCUUACCAGAGCUGAGAGCUAAAUUACUACAAGAAGCAAAACUCAAUUCAGUUGUGAAGACAAAGGAUAUUCCUAAAGAAAAUGAAUAUAUGAGAGAAGAAAGAAAAACAAACCUUAACAAUACAGUGAUAAAUAAUUCCCACAUUGGAAAGGAAACAGAAAAAGAGAAAAAGAGUAAGGACAUUAGAGUGAGGGUUUUUAAAAUCAAAGGAGGAAAAGGAGAUACCUCAGAACUGAAAAAGUUAGAAUAUGAAGGUGUUCAUCGUCAACAGGAUGCAGUUGACAAUGCUCAUGCUACAUCUUUAGAUACAAAACCUGUAAUCAUUGAACCACCAAACUCUGUCAAUCCCAGCACUAACACUAAUGGUAUGAAAGAAGAUCCAUAUGCUGGAGGUUGUAUGAUAAUGCCACCCAUCAACCUUACAAACAAUAAUUUCAUGGCUGCAAAUCCAAAUCCAAAUCUCCCUCACUCUAAUCCAAGGUUAGGUGAAAGAGCAAAAAAGAAACAAACUACUGGACAAGUUAUAUCUAAUACCAGACAAGAGGACACAGUUCCAACUCAAAACCAAAUGGAGAAGGGUGUUUUUAAUGAGCGAACAGGUCAAAAUGACCAAAUAGCAAAUGGGAACAAAAGGAAGCUGAAUUUUUCCAGAUGUGACAGGAAGGAAUUCCAUUUCCCUGAAUUGCCAUUAAUACAGCCAAAGGACGUGAAAGUUAAACAGAUAAAAAUGCUCAAGAGGGAGUCAAAGAAAACAGAUUCACCUAAAAUACCAACCUUACUUAAUAUGGAUCAAAGUCAAGAAAAGUAAAAGGGUGGAGAUGACCAUUGUGAGGAGAGGAAUUUGAAGAGGAACUGAUUUUUUUUUCUGGAAGAAAAGACAAUAGGAAUCAUGGAGGAAUCCUCUUCAAAAUUUGAGAAGUAAAUCUCUUUGCUGCAAGAGACGAAUAAUAUUUGGUGGCCUCCAAAAUGUAUACUACUUAGAUCUUGAUGCAGAGCCUAAUUGACUGGUCUCAGCUGCUGGACUCUUGAAAUUCAUUAUCACAUUUGAGUAAGGUCCGGAUUUCUCAUGUGUUAAUCUCUGCUAAAGACUUGAGUUUCUGAGGCCUAAAAAGGAAGUCUUGUUCUUCAGAAAUACAGCAUGCCCUCUGCCUUCCUUCUGUUCAGCCUUUCUUUCUUCUCAUAAGGGUCAGACCUGUGUUGCAAUCGUAAGAUUUCUAGCAUCCUCUGGCUCCCUUUUCAUUUUUCCUUACAGCAUUUACUUUAA